rnacentral:rRNA from 1 species
GUCAACCUACCCUCGAGUCGGGGACAACCACGGGAAACUGUGGAUAAUUCCCGAUAGGUGAGGAUCACUGGAAUGUUUUCUCACCCAAAGCUCCGGCGCUCGAGGAUGGGACUGCGGUCUAUCAGGCAGUUGGUGGGGUAACGGCCCACCAAACCAACGACGGAUACGGGCGAUGGGAGUCGGAGCCCGGAGAUGGGGACUGAGACAAGGCCCCAGGCCCUACGGGGCGCAGCAGGCGCGAAAACUCCGCAAUGCGCGCAAGCGUGACGGGGGAACCCCAAGUGCCGAUGGUCUUUGAUCGUCGGCUUUUCGGAAGUGUAAGGAGCUUCCGGAAUAAGGGCUGGGUAAGACUGGUGCCAGCCGCCGCGGUAACACCAGCAGCCCAAGUGGUGGCCGGGUUUAUUGGGCCUAAAGCGCUCGUAGCCGGACUGGUAAGUCCCUUGUGAAAUCGGUCGGCUCAACCGUUCGGCUUGCAAGGGAUACUAUCGGUCUUGAGGCCGGGAAGGGUCGGAGGUACCUCGGGGGUAACAGUGAAAUGUUGUAAUCCCUGAGGGACCACCAGUGGCGAAAGCGUCCGACAGGAACGGACCUGACGGUGAGGGGCGAAAGCUUGGGGAGCGAACGGGAUUAGAUACCCCGGUAGUCCAAGCUGUAAAGCAUGCGGGUCAGGUGUUUGGCAUCCUUCGAGGGUGCCAAGUGCCGAAGGGAAGCCGUUAAGCCCGCCGCCUGGGAAGUACGGUCGCAAGGCUGAAACUUAAAGAAAUUGGCGGGGGAGCACCACAAGGGGUGGAGCCUGCGGUUUAAUUGGAUUCAACGCCGGACAACUCACCGGGGGCGACAGCUGGUUGAAGGCCAGGUUGAUGACCUUGCUGGACUAGCUGAGAGGUGGUGCAUGGCCGUCGUCAGCUCGUACUGUGAAGCGUCCUGUUAAGUCAGGUAACGAGCGAGACCCUCACCCUUAGUUGCUAGUGUGUCUUCGGAUGCGCGCACUCUAAGGGGACCGCUGGUGCUAAACCAGAGGAAGGAGAGGGCGACGGUAGGUCCGUAUGCCCCGAAUCCCCCGGGCUACACGCGGGCUACAAUGCGCAGGACAAUGGGAUGCAACCCUGUAAGGGGAAGCCAAACCCCUAAACCUGCGCUCAGUUCGGAUCGAGGGCUGUAACUCGCCCUCGUGAAGCUGGAAUCCCUAGUAAUCGCGUGCCAAUAUCGCGCGGUGAAUACGUCCCUGCUCCUUGCACACACCGCCCGUCAAGCCACCCGAGUAGUGCUUGGAUGAGGUUUGUUCAAGUUGGGCGGAUCGAAUCCAG